rnacentral:rRNA from 1 species
GUACACUCCUACGGGAGGCAGCAGUGGGGAAUAUUGCACAAUGGGCGCAAGCCUGAUGCAGCCAUGCCGCGUGUAUGAAGAAGGCCUUCGGGUUGUAAAGUACUUUCAGCGGGGAGGAAGGCAAUACGGUUAAUAACCGUGUUGAUUGACGUUACCCGCAGAAGAAGCACCGGCUCACUCCGUGCCAGCAGCCGCGGUAAUACGGAGGGUGCAAGCGUUAAUCGGAAUUACUGGGCGUAAAGCGCACGCAGGCGGUCUGUCAAGUCGGAUGUGAAAUCCCCGGGCUCAACCUGGGAACUGCAUUCGAAACUGGCAGGCUUGAGUCUUGUAGAGGGGGGUAGAAUUCCAGGUGUAGCGGUGAAAUGCGUAGAGAUCUGGAGGAAUACCGGUGGCGAAGGCGGCCCCCUGGACAAAGACUGACGCUCAGGUGCGAAAGCGUGGGGAGCAAACAGGAUUAGAAACCCCUGUAGUCCCA